GUACGAGUUGAACCUUGGCUUAGUUAGCAAUGAUCAGGUCAUUUUUUCCCUCUCACUCAUUCAGGAUACAUGGAGCAUGGAGUCAUUUCAAGAUAUCUCGUUACAUGACAUCAUGUUCUCAGCAAGUAUCACCUGGACUUCGUGGAGUAAAUGGGGAAAAUGUGAAACACAACAUGAUUGUGGCAAAGGUGAACAACGACGUAAAAGAAUCCUGGUGAACAAUGAUUGCGUACGAAACAAAACUGAAGAAACAAGACCUUGUAAAUUAAAAAGUUGUCCAGUGAACGGUGCGUGGUCUUUAUGGUCAGACUGGUCUGCUUGUUCUUUAACUUGUAAUAAUGGUACGCGUUCGAGACUAAGAACAUGCACGAACCCAUCUCCGAGAU